rnacentral:misc_RNA from 1 species
AGAAAAUUUGCGGCUAUUCACCAAUGAAUUCCCCCUCAUCUUUGUCGACUCAGUAACCGGUAGGGAACUCGCAGCUUCCAAAUUGAGGAGGCUGCGUGACCACAUAAGCGGUACCACCAAAAUCACACGUACCAGCAGCACGGGCCUUCUUCUGGUAAUAACUGUUAAAGGCAUAAGAAGCGUGGGCCUCUAUUGUGUUUGGAUUAUAACACGUCGCACCGGGUUGGAUUGGACGGCAAUCAGCUCCUCCCUCACCACAAGCAUAAUCAAUCGCAACUUGGAGCUUCUCCGUUCCAGCAUUCCCAUUGGCUACACACCACGUCUGUCCGACCGACGUCUUCGACACUUCACCGCUGGUACCAUUCACCGGGACUUGACUAUUGUUCCUGUUGACUGGGGUUGAUUGGCUGUUACCUAAAUCCUUCAACGUGAGAGGUAUAUCAUAUACUUUCUCUUCGUUGGGAUAAAACAAUCCGUAAUUCCUCUCGGAUGUGGGACCCGGUUUUUGGUUCUCAUUGAACAAUGCAAAUAAGUAAACGUUAAGUGGGUCCUGCGUUCUUAGAGGGGUCCCAUUUCCGGUCAAGACUCUCUUCACUAAAUUUCCGUUAUACGACGCCGCAUUUUCCUCAUUUGCGCCAAUCUCGUUUUCAUCGCCCAGCGAAGGCCAUCCGGUUUCUGUGACCACCAUUUUUAUGUCGUUGUACUGGAUAGCUGACAUGGCAGCGAAAACGGCGUCGAGUUGGGCCUCCAAAAGGCUGUAGUACUUUAAACCGUUACCGGAAUCCACCGUUCCCUGGUUUUCUUUGAACAAGGCGUAGUCCAAAGAGAUAUCCUUAGAGUUGGCAGUGUAUGCAAAAAAUGGGUAUGCAUUGACCAUGAGAUAUGACCCGGAUUGACGCAGA